rnacentral:rRNA from 1 species
GACAGAGGGUGCAAGCGUUGUUCGGAAUUACUGGGCGUAAAGGGCUCGUAGGCGGCCAACUAAGUCAGACGUGAAAUCCCUCGGCUUAACCGGGGAACUGCAUCUGAUACUGGAUGGCUUGAGUACGGGAGAGGAUGUGGGAAUUCCUGGUGUAGCGGUGAAAUGCGUAGAUAUCAGGAGGAACACCGGUGGCGAAGGCGCACAUCUGGCCCGAUACUGACGCUGAAGCGCGAAAGCUAGGGGAGCAAACGGG